GUGCUUGCUUUGGAAGUACAUAUACUAAAAUUGGAACAAUACAGAGAUUAGCAUGGCCCCUACACAAGGAUGACACACAAAUUCAUGAAGCAUUCCAUUAAAAA